CUUACCACAAGCUUUAAGUUUAUACUAGAUUUUGGGAACUCGCGAUGCUGCUUCGUGGUUAAAAAGUGUGGAGCACGGGUUUGGUUACCCGGUUUGCGGAUUGGAAUUCUUGUAUCGGAACACAGCAUAAGCAUUUAUAUGGUGAUCCAAUAGUUAUGAUAGUAAUGAUACAUUUUUAUGGAUACAAACUAUGCUAAUGAAUCGGAGCCAUAGUUAGCUGCACUUGAGUGCAGAUCCGUGUAUAUUUAUUCAUAGACGAUGUUGCAUGUGAUGUUUGAAUCGGUUGACGCAUCAUUUUCUACGACGACAUGUAUUCCAGCCGAUGAUCUAACGCGUGAUAUCCACGAUUGUCACGCUCUGGACCGGGGUGACAAGCGGUCCGCGGUAGACAUGGUUGGGGUGGCCGAUCGCGACAACCUUCCCGAGAAGAUCUGCAUAGGAGAGCCAUCAAUCAGAGGCGACACAAAGGGGGUUAUGGACUUAUGGGGGAAGAGUGGGUGGAACAGGACAGCAAGGUUUCUUACCGAACAGGAAAGGGUGGGGUGAAACGCGGCGAUAUAGUGAGGGCAGAGGCCGGAAGUCGUAGGAGGUUUCUGGAAACGCUGGGUCAGUAGGAUCCUCCAGAUCAAAUUUUGUUGAAGGUGUGAAGUCCAAGAAAUGCGGGAAGGUGCAUGUACGAAAAUUCGGGCGCGGUGAGUGAACCGGAGACCGGUAGACGGAGCCGAUGGUGAUACGCUUUUCGAUGGAUGGAGCAAAGCUCCGCUGGGAGUCCCCUUGUAUUCAUGUCCCCUGGAACCGGAAAAAUAGAAGGCAAACCAGUAAGUGAAAGUAGAGGAUCAGUGUGUAGGUGGAGCGAAAAGCGGCGGCCAGGGGGUGGUGUGGCGGCGUACCUCCAUAGAGUCCCAAAAGAAAAAUAGUGUUCUGGAGUUGAAGGCUUGCUUAGUUUCCAUGCAUGGAGCAAGCGGAGCCGCAUGAAUUCAGGACGGUUUCCGGUGUCAGGUUGCACAAGAGCAUCGUGAUUUCCGAUGGCUACGGGAAAGAGAAAGUGUGGAAGAAUGAGAAGAAGAUGGCCGGCCA
rnacentral:lncRNA from 1 species